UUAUUUGCAUUCUCCUGCAAUCAGCUGCUGUGAUUCAUAGACGUAUAUGUGACCUUUGCAGAAGUUGGGGCUCCAACAUCAUCUGUGAUACUCUGUAAAUAGUCUGGUUUUGCUUACUGAUUUUUUGUUUCUUUCCUGUUUUGUUUUGUUACACUAUGGUUGCCUGCCUGAAUGGAGUGAUUUGAACAAUGAAGAGGACUCCGAUGGAUGUAGGAACUUAUUGGGAACUGGAACAAAGGUCACUUUUGUUACGCUUUAGUGAAGAUCCUGGCUGCACUGUGCACCUACUUUAGAGAUCUGUGGAAUUUUGAAUUGAGAGUGAUAAGUUAGGGUAUCCAGCAGAAGAAAUUUCUAAGCAACAAAGAGUUCAAGAUCUGACCUGGCUGCUUGUAACAGCCUAUCUCAUAUGUGUGAGCAAAGAAAUGAUCUGAAACAGGAAUUUAUAUUUAAAAGGGAAGCAGAGCAUGAAAGUUUGGAAAAUUUGCAGUCUGGCCAUGUGGUAGGAAAGGAAAGCCUAUUUUUAGGAAAGAAAUCCAAGCAGGCUGCAGAAAUUUGCAUAACCAAAAGCAAAGCAAGUGCUGAUAGUCAAGACAAAGGAGAAAAGGCCUCUAAGAAAUAUCACAGACUUUCAUGGCAGACCCUCUCAUCACAGGCUUAGAGGCCUAGGAGGAAAAAAUGGUUUCCUGGGGAAGGC
rnacentral:lncRNA from 1 species